AACGAACGCUGGCGGCAGGCUUAACACAUGCAAGUCGAACGCCUGUAGCAAUACAGGAGUGGCAGACGGGUGAGUAACACGUGGGAACGUGCCCAAAGGUACGGAACAACUCCGGGAAACUGGAGCUAAUACCGUAUGUGCCCGAAAGGGGAAAGAUUUAUCGCCUUUGGAUCGGCCCGCGUCUGAUUAGCUAGUUGGGGGGGUAAUGGCCUACCAAGGCGACGAUCAGUAGCUGGUCUGAGAGGAUGGCCAGCCACACUGGGACUGAGACACGGCCCAGACUCCUACGGGAGGCAGCAGUGGGGAAUAUUGGACAAUGGGCGCAAGCCUGAUCCAGCCAUGCCGCGUGAGUGAUGAAGGCCUUAGGGUUGUAAAGCUCUUUCGCCAGGGACGAUAAUGACGGUACCUGGAUAAGAAGCCCCGGCUAACUUCGUGCCAGCCGCCGCCGUAA
rnacentral:rRNA from 1 species